rnacentral:rRNA from 1 species
AACGAACGCUGGCGGCAUGCCUAACACAUGCAAGUCGAACGAAGCCUUCGGGCUUAGUGGCGCACGGGUGCGUAACGCGUGGGAAUCUGCCCUUGGGUUCGGAAUAACAGUUAGAAAUGACUGCUAAUACCGGAUGAUGUCUUCGGACCGAAGAUUUAUCGCCCAAGGAUGAGCCCGCGUAGGAUUAGGUAGUUGGUGGGGUAAUGGCCCACCAAGCCGACGAUCCUUAGCUGGUCCGAGAGGAUGAUCAGCCACACUGGGACUGAGACACGGCCCAGACUCCUACGGGAGGCAGCAGUGGGGAAUAUUGGACAAUGGGCGAAAGCCUGAUCCAGCAAUGCCGCGUGAGUGAUGAAGGCCUUAGGGUUGUAAAGCUCUUUUACCAGGGAUGAUAAUGACAGUACCUGGAGAAUAAGCUCCGGCUAACUCCGUGCCAGCAGCCGCAGUAACAC